rnacentral:rRNA from 1 species
GUGAAGAUGCAGUGUACCCGCGGCAAGACGGAAAGACCCCGUGAACCUUUACUAUAGCUUGACACUGAACAUUGAGCCUUGAUGUGUAGGAUAGGUGGGAGGCUUUGAAGUGUGGACGCCAGUCUGCAUGGAGCCGACCUUGAAAUACCACCCUUUAAUGUUUGAUGUUCUAACGUUGACCCGUAAUCCGGGUUGCGGACAGUGUCUGGUGGGUAGUUUGACUGGGGCGGUCUCCUCCUAAAGAGUAACGGAGGAGCACGAAGGUUGGCUAAUCCUGGUCGGACAUCAGGAGGUUAGUGCAAUGGCAUAAGCCAGCUUGACUGCGAGCGUGACGGCGCGAGCAGGUGCGAAAGCAGGUCAUAGUGAUCCGGUGGUUCUGAAUGGAAGGGCCAUCGCUCAACGGAUAAAAGGUACUCCGGGGAUAACAGGCUGAUACCGCCCAAGAGUUCAUAUCGACGGCGGUGUUUGGCACCUCGAUGUCGGCUCAUCACAUCCUGGGGCUGAAGUAGGUCCCAAGGGUAUGGCUGUUCGCCAUUUAAAGUGGUACGCGAGCUGGGUUUAGAACGUCGUGAGACAGUUCGGUCCCUAUCUGCCGUGGGCGCUGGAGAACUGAGGGGGGCUGCUCCUAGUACGAGAGGACCGGAGUGGACGCAUCACUGGUGUUCGGGUUGUCAUGCCAAUGGCACUGCCCGGUAGCUAAAUGCGGAAGAGAUAAGUGCUGAAAGCAUCUAAGCACGAAACUUGCCCCGAGAUGAGUUCUCCCUGACUCCUUGAGAGUCCUGAAGGAACGUUGAAGACGACGACGUUGAUAGGCCGGGUGUGUAAGCGCAGCGAUGCGUUGAGCUAACCGGUACUAAUGAACCGUGAGG